CAUUACAUAUAAUUCCCUCCAGCUAUUGACAAUGACUACAGUAUAUAAGCGGUAUACAAAAAUAGUUUAUAACUCACCUAUAGAUAAAUAUCUAUCUCAUCCACGUACCGCUUGUUCUGCUUCUGUCCGAGUGAACUUUACAACGGCCAGAUUUCGAAAGCACGGCUAUAUACAUUUUUAAUUAAAACGGUGUUGAUUCAAAGCGCGUCAAGCAGCUACCCUUUUUAAUUUUAAUAGUCUAUGAACAUUAUUCUAAUCAAGCUUGGUUUAACUUUAACCAAUGAAUGUUUAUCAAUUUCCAUUAUAGCGUUAUAUUAGGAUUCAGCUUUUCCAUACUCUGGCAUCAAACUAUAUGAAACGAUCACAUUCAGUCGAACGAUAUACUUUAUAAUAGCGCUAGCAGACACCGUGCAGACACUGACUGACAAAUUUGGA